GUGUCUUGGCAUGAGAAGACACACCACUGUUAUCUAUGGAGAAGAAUCCUUGGGGCUUCAGCUAGAGGCAGAUAAGAAUUGUUUAGCUUUAAUGUUGUAUCCUCUACCUUUUUUCUCCAUCGCAGCUACCAGCUACCCAUUCCUCCGCUGUCCUCUCUUCUUCAUAGAACACGUUUUGUUUUCCUUUCCAGUAGUAGCUGUCAAGAUAAUAUGUGAAAUUAACGAUAUCUGGAGUUUAUCUUUUCAGUGUUUCAUUACAUUUUGAGAUGCUGAAAUAGAAACUGUAUCUGCCUCUGUCUCUCUCUCUGAUGGGCAGCAUAACCCCUCCCCUUGGGCUAAGACAAACUUUAUACCUGGAGGUUUACAACACCAGAUUCUUCAAUGUACUGGGAGUUAACUUCUAUUUGCGCCCUUUGUCCUCUUGGAUAGGGAUGAUUUGCAAUAUAGUAAAUCUGCUCAAGGCUCUUCAAAGAGCUACCUCACUGCUGGUUUUGGCUUUUCCUUUAGAUAAACAGUUGAUUAUGUCCACCACAAAUAUUUUGUGUUUGAGUGAGAGUGGUUUCUUCAAUAGGAAGAUUAAAGUGAUCAAGCCUGGCUUGUGCUGCUGUAUGUCAUGUAGGCUUGUUAUGGGUGGGGAGAACUGAGAAAUAUUUUUUGAUCCUUUUGUGCUUUGAGAGAGGAAGGAUAUCUUCUGCUUUGGCUGAAAUGGCACCUGAAAGUGUCUGUCACUUUCUCUAUGUUCAGGACCAGUUCCCAGUCUGAUCCGCUGCUGUUGCAUGCAGAAUAGGUAUAGCUGAGAGGAAUGCAAAGGAUUUCAGUUGUUUGAGAAGAGGUGGGUGGGGGCCUUCAGAGUCCGUGAAUUCAUUAAAAUUCCAUGUUGUGUUGCAGGGUAAAUGCGUGGGCCUUAAUAUGCAGGGCUCAAACAGGUAAAUACUCGAAUCUUGGAUACAAGACAUAGCAAGUUUUUACCUGCCCUUCAUCCUAAAAGCUCACCAAGUACUCUACACCCACCCAAAAGGCAGUGUUCACCACUACCUGAAUGUAAUGCAAACUGAUAGAUGCAAGCAUAGGUUAGUGGUAGUAGUUCACCUUUAAAUGGAUAUCUGCCACAAGCGUGUGCACGUGUUUACACUUCAGAAAACUUAUUCUCCGUUUUGAAGAAAUCGGACACUCUUCACGUUGCUGUUCUCUUUGAAUACACAUUGCUUUGCUGACAGCGUCCAUUUGUGCUGUGGAUUGUAUAAAAAACUCUCAGUACCUCCAGCAACCUUCCUAAACUCCAAAAGUCACAAAGCAUCCACCAGGCAAUUAGUCUCAUGGACUAGAAGGGCAGAGAACAGGGGCCAAAGACUGCCUGCAGGCACCCUGCCUUUGUGCACUCUCGUUGAACCCUGUGAGGUAAUUUGGCCCUUUUCAGGUGCAAUCUGCUCUGUACACCCUGAUCCUCCCAUACUGAAGCUGGUAAUUCUGCUCAGAGCAAUUUCACUGUAGACUUGACUCCGCAGUCAGAAAGCCCAUGGCAAUGCUCUUGCGACAGGUGGGGCACUGAGAGAGUCAUGGUGCUCUCAAUCCAGUGUCAUUAUCUAGAUGCAGUACAAUAACUGAAUUUGCUCUUCUCACCUGCAAAUACGUGUGUGUAAAGGUGGCUUGUGGUGGACAUGAGUCAGCAAUGUGCCCUUGUGGCCAAGAAGGCCAAUGGUAUCCUGCGGUGCAUUAGGAAGAGUGUGAUCAGCAAGUUGAGGGAGGUUCUCCUCCCCCUCUACUCUGCCCUGGUGAGGCCACAUCUGGAGUACUGUGUCCAGUUCUGGGCUCCCCAGUUUAAGGAGGACGAGGAAUUACUGAAGGGAGUCCAGUGGAGAGCUACAAAGAUGAUGAGGGCUCUGUGGCAUCUUUCUUAUGAGGAAAGACUGAGAAAGCUGGGUCUGUUCAGCCUGGAGAAGGCUGAGAGGGGAUCUUAUUUAUACUUAUAAAUAUUUCAAGGAUGGGUGUCAAGAGGACCAGACUAUUUUCAGUGGUGUGCAAUGGUAGGAUGAGGGGCAACGGGCACAGGCUGAAACACAGGAGGUUCCAUCUGAAUGUGAGAAGAAAAUUCCUCACUUGGAGGGUGCCAGAGCACUGGAACAAGCUGCCCAGAGAGGUUGUGGAGUCUCCUUCUCUGGAGAUAUUCAAAACCCACCUCGAAGCACUCCUGUGUGAUCUGCUCUAGGUUGAACCUGCUUUAGCAGGUGGGUUGGACUAGAUUAUCUCCAGAGGUCCCUUCCAACCCAAACAUUUUGUGAUUCUAUGAACCCAUGGUGGCAUAAAAAAGAGACCAGGUACACUCAGGAGCUGUACCUGUGGUGGCUCUCACCUGCACUUCUGCAGCUGUGGUUUUCCACAACUUGUGGGUUAUCUGGAGGCUCGUCCUUCAGUCAGCAUUCCUCUUCUGUAGUUACUUGCUCCUUUACUGGACAGCUCAAAUGUGGGAUGUGAAACCACACAGCUUUAGAUGUCUUUCAUUUAUUUCUCUUUUUACAAAUAAAAUAAAAGGCUAGAACAGAGCCGUGGUCAUAGAAAUAAAAAUAUUUUCUACUGUAACAAGGGAAUUAAAACAUCUACACAAAGAGAAAACACUGAAAGUAGAGAACUGUGUUAUUCUUGUGAGAGAAUGUUGGGAUUAAGGUUUAAAAAAAUCUUUUACUUUUUAAGGCAUACAGUUUCUAGGGGUUCCAGUUACUUCAGGGAUUAGGCAUUUAAAAGACAUUUUCUUGAUCUAACUUUUUUGCAGGUCCUGAGUAUUUUGAAAGACUUCCUGCACAUAUGUGCCAGUUAUUUGAUCUGAUCAUGGUUUUAAUAAAACUAUUAUUUAACUAACCACGAGUUAAUUUCUUUAGCCUUCUGGGAGCCAGCCACGAAUAGUAGCAAGUUAUUGUUUAACCUGGCUAAAGCUGAGCUCCUUCUCUUCCUUGCUAACUCCCACCAUUGACAACACAAUUUAAAACUGGAUUUUUUUUUCUUGAUGGAGUUAAAGUAUUAUUCAGAAAAAAUCUUAUAAGAUCCCAGAAAGUCAUGUUCAUGUAACCAUUUUCUAAUCCCUUCAAAAUUGAUUACUUCUGGUAACCUGAAAAACUGCAUAACUUGGAAGGAAUUUUCCUGAUGUACCAGGACCUGGCAGCAGAGCGGAGGAGCAACAGGUGAGAUAGCAGCCACAGCCUCACUGUCACACCUGUGCUGGACAUGCUGCUGCUGUCAGGGGUAAUCCAGUGGUUAGCAGCUGGCAGCUUUUCCACUUUGAAGGCAUUAAGAGUAGCUGCUACUUAGCACAGACAUUCAUAGUGACAUAAAGUGUUUCAAAACUUCCUACUGUGUUUCUAAUACAUCUUUGAAAACAAAAAGAUGCCCAUGCAAACAGGACAGUGAGAGAAGAGUUUGUUGGACACGAUUGCAUGAGACUAUUAAGUUCCGUGGUGAUGUGUUACUAAAAUAUGUAUGGCAUAUGCAAGAAGUUCCAUUUCUAGCAAACACAUUCCCCUGGACACACGCAUUAGCUCUGAUGUGUACUGCUCACUGAGUCAGAAUUGAUAGCAGGCUAUAGCUUAAUUUCAUAGGGUUAUCAGAGCUGUUGCUCCAACAUAGUGGAAGCCUGUGCUGACUUAGAUAUUUAAUCUAAAUGUGAAAUAAAACAACCAUUUCCAAAAAGAUGAGGCAGCUGUUGUGCAGUCUGUGAGUGUAACAUGUGGCUUUGUUUUAUGGACAAGGUGUGUAGAAUUAUAAAGAUCUCUUGGGGAAACAGCCUUGCAAAUAGCAUGCACCUGAAUGCAAGCAAAUAGUUGCACCUGGGAACAAAAAUAGCUAGGCCAUGCCUACAGAAGGACUCUGGUGACAUGAACAGGGGUGACAUAUUUCCUGGAGGAUACAUGCAAAGGAUUUCAGAUCAGGGGGCAAGUAACUUCAGACAGCUUUCCAGGCUGUUAACAUGGCUAGAAGGAUGAAUGCAGCCUUCGAAUGAGAAAAACAUCAGCUAUAUCAGGCUGCAUCUUUUGCAAAAGCAGCCUGGAAGCACUUUCAAAUAACUGCAUGAUAAGGCAUUUACUGAACAGCCUUGUAGCUGUUCCUGUUAGACACUGGAGAAAAGGUUUUUCUGUUACCAUUGGUCAAAGCUAGGCAAACCUUCCAGAUUCUGUGCAGUAGGUAAAGCUGAUCAAGGAAACGCAAAGAAUACUAAUGCUGUACAACUUGUCUCAAUACCACCAGGCUUUAAGUAAAUGAUAAACACUCCCUGGAAUGGUUUAUGAGUAUGCAAAAAAAAAAAAAAAAAACCAAAACAAUUUAAAGGUGAUAAAACUCUGUUGACAUGAAUACCACUCAGGUAAACCACCUUGGACAUAUUUCAAACAUAAGCCGACACCUAUUUAAUUUAACUUUAUCCCAGAUGAAUGAAACAAUUCACAUGUAAGGCUUUGCAAACACAGGUCUAAUUUGCCUGCAGACUCUGCUGUCUGACAGCUGUCCUUGACAACAACCCUACACUUUUUCAAACCAGUUCAGGAAGCUUUGCCUCCACAGCAGUGGUUGUUGAGCCUCAGUCAUGAGCUUUUGAGAGCAUCACUUCAUCUGCAUCCUGUUGCCUAGAGUCAGUACAAGUUAUGUGCUCGAGGGAGCUCUACUGCUGGACUUGCUCUCAUCACUGUCCCUGGAAGCUGUAAUUGGACUGAGAGGCAGAAGGAAGAGGUUUUUACCAAGCAAAUAGUCUAUGUGAGAAGAAAGGAGCCAAUACCUCUGAGGGUCUUCAAGGGCUGCUUGGGGAACCCAAAGCCUUUCCAGGUUUAGUAUCGCUUUAAAGUAUUGCUUCAUUGUUACAGAAGAAGUACAGAGGAAUGAAGCAGGGAUGUAGAUGACCUUUCUGGGCUCUUCAGCUGUAAGCAGAAGUCCCCUCAAGGUGCCAACAUCUGUAAGCUUUCUCUCUUAAUAGAGUAGAGCUGCCAUUGUAGUUUCCUACUCUGAAGAAAAAACGGUACUUUGCUUCACAACAGUUUUCAAUGCAUUGCUCUAAUCUUCAAGUGAGGCUGCUUCUGUGGUGAGUGCAGAGCUUUAAUGUGUACUGAAGAACACCCUACACACUGGGAAACAUCAAGGUAUUUUAGCACUGUUUCUCUUGCAGUUAGCUUCACGGAUGGGUGUGGAUGCUAGCUCGAAAUGAAAGCCUAGUUUCUGUUGUUUUCCUGGAUGAAAAUCUAAAGCAGCUUCAAUUCUGUAGGGGAAUCUGUCUAUAUUUCAUGUCCAAGUAAUGGAUUUGUCUCAGGAUGCUUUCCUCUGAAAAAUAUGUUUGUACUGAAAGGAUGGAAUGAUGCAUACAUAAACAGUAGCCCAUAGUCAUUGCUCUCUGCACCCAUUGCUCUGAUGUUACUAUUAUGAAAUGCAGAUAAAACCACCAAGAAUUCACUAUCCCUUUAGGUACAGUGAAAAAUUAAAAAUAACAAAAGCAUGUUCUCCUUGAUAUAGAGAAAUUCUCAGAUUAAUUAUUUCCCAGGGACAAGAAUGGCUGAUGGGUGAAGUUUAAGAGUAAAAGGGCAAGAACAUUUUUAGACAAUGAAGAAAUUCAUUUGUGUAUUUCAUGGAGAGCUGAGUGGUUUUCCUCUAUUUGGUCUUGCUCACCUCUGCUCAUCAGUUUAUUAUUUAUUGUGUUCUGAAGGGACACAAAACCAGUCCCUGGGAGGAGAUAGAAAUUGAAACAAAUGCAGAAUUUGAAAAUGUGUCUACCAUAAAGAAUAAAUGAUAUUGAUGCACUGGAACAGGUUUGGCUAUGAGGGAUAUUUAGAAGCCUUCAGGAGUAGAUAUAGAGAAAUACAUUGAGGAAAUUACCCCACCUUGGGAUACCAAGAUGGGCCAUAUGAUUUCUGGGUGUCUCUUGGAGGUUUAUUUGUAACUAAUAGCAGAGUAGUCCACUGAUCUUUUUAGUACUGGAAAAUCUCAACCUGAGGUAGUGACAUGACCCUUUUUCUUUUGAUCUUUAUGUUUCCUGACUUCAUGGUAAGACAUUUUGUCCUUGCAUAAUUUAUUUCCUUGUCUAUACCAUGGGGAUAUUUGCAGCACUUCCCCAAACAGCUUGGACUAAUGUCCUAGAAUAGUGUCAAUAUCCUAGUUGUGUGGGGGUUAAAGUCCUGCUUACAGGCUGUGACUGCUGCCAACAAAAAGAGGGACAGGGGGGGAGCUCUGGGCCACUGAUCACCCUUCUUUACCUCUUCCUGGGCUUCUUUUGGGACCAGCCACCUGGGACCCUCCAGGACAAGUCCCUGGCUAGAGUCCUAACUUCAUUGCCUCUGCUUAUCUCUCUCCCUCUCUCUGAACUCAUCUUGGGCUUGAUUCACAAUUAUGUUAAUACGGUUCAGCUUUGGUGUAGGCAUGCUGAAAUCACUGAUUUGGGAAAAUGCAGUAAAGAACAAGAUUUUUAACAGGUUUGCUUAUUAUAUUGGUCAGUGCUUAUCAGGAACAUUUUUCGGCAUUUUUUAUCUGUAUAUGGUUAGUGACAAAUAAUUCUGAUAGUACUAUAUGCUCAAUUUCUCUUGCUGCCUAUCUAAUGUCAGUGACAUAUUUAGUCCAGAAGUUCCUUGCAAGAGCUGGUGUACUCUAUGCACAAUACUAAACUAAAUGGAAAGAGUGGAAAUGAAUUGGCUAUGGAACUGUGCAUAACAUCAGCUUGCAGUGAAAUUAGUGCAGCCAGAGCUGCACAGCUGGCCAUCUAAAUCCUGUAGAUUCGUUAAUCUGCCCUAGCUGGCUAAUAAAGUGUUGGAGGAUUUACGUUAAAACACUGUUUUUCUCCUGUUUCCCCUUUGAUUUGUUGCAUUCUGAAACCUACAAUAGACAAUAGGACAGUAGGCAAAAUAUUUUUAGCAUGACACAUUUAGACAUGUUUAAACAUAGUACGACAUGUAUUCUUAGGUGGACAAAUAUAGGAAAAUAUGUUAUACAUGUAGUACAUAUUGAAGGUAUUUAAAAUAUAUAUGCAACAUAACAUAGUAAUAAUAAAUAGUAUAUAAACAGAGAGACACACUUGUCUAUCUGUCUGCAUAUGAGUAUCUAUGAAAAAAUACAGGUGAAGAAAGAAAUAAUUAUUAAUAUCAGCAUGUAUUUGAAGAGAAGAUAUGGAGUCAUGUGAAAAUGUGUUCCAUAUUUAUUCAUUUGUAUUUUGUGCUGCUGGGAAAGUAGUAGCUACAACGCACAUAUUAGCCUGCAUAAAAUAUGAUCCAAAUCUGCUGGUGCAAUAUUGGAUCUCGGUUCAUAGGUAGGUUUCUUGCUCAGUUUUACUACUAUAAAGAGACAUGGCUGGGUAAUUCAGCAUAAUUCCUAUCUGGAUUUCAAGUACCAAAACAUAUGAGUGCUUAUACAGUUUGUGUGUAUACAAGUAACCUAAAGUUUUUAUCUUUUUUUUUACAGGGGAAGAGGGUGGGAUCUGCAAAUGAGAAAAGAGUGCAGGUCAGAAGACAGGAAGACAGAAAGUUGGCUGUCUCUCUUUUAACUUAAACCAGGCUCCUGUGAACACAAGAGGCUAUAUAUGCAGAUCGAGGUUACCAAGGGACAUAGACACCUCUGGCUUAAGCUAUUUUCCUUAUUAAAUUGGCAAUGGAAGAAGUAAGUGGUGUGAAAUUCACUAGAUCAACUCAAAAGCACUGAAAGAUCAUGUGUGCCCUGGAAAAUUAAAUUGGCUUUAUGGUCAGACAAUGCCCAGCAGUGUAAUCCAGAGACACAAGAGAACUUGGAUUGUAAAGUACUCAAAUUAAAGGAGUGCUUGUGUUCUGGGAGUUUGAUUCUUCCUGCCACAAAUGGUGUUUGGUUCUGGGACUUUUGUUUGGACCUGCCUAUGCCUCUUACAAAACCAAAACAAGCAAGCUGUCAUUUUUACAAAAGCCCAGAUGUAUUUUCAUUUUUUGCAAAGCCAGACAAAUAGCAAUACUAAAGUAUUAAAAAACAUAGGUACUAAAAUGUGUCAAUUUUUUUCUGUUCCUUCUCCCCCUUUCUAUGUUUGCCGGCUUUUCUGUGCCAUUCAACUUGUUUGCUUGUAAAAUCUUCCUUGGGGCCACAGUUGUGCAGACAGACUAAAACGUUUUUGACUCUGAAGGAAUCCCCUGAGGUAAAAUUUACUCAGAUAAUAUCUCAGUUACUACCUAACCUGUUUGGGUUAUUUUUGUACACUAUAAAGCGGUAGCACCAACAAAGAAAAACGGCAUGGUGCAUACCAGUAGCAGUUCACUUCAAGUAACUUAUGAACUCUGCUUUUGCACAAAACAACUACAUUUUGUGGUUCUCUGUGGAUGUCAGAAAUGAGAAACUGAAAUGUUUGAGGUGACCUCCCCAGUCAUCCAUCCAACAUAUCAGAGCCUUUCCGUGAAAGCAAAAAUACAUUUAGCUUUACUUGAUCGCAGACCCAAACAGGUAAAGGAUGCCAUGUAUACAUAACAGCACAGAAGUAAUACAGAGGCUGCAAGAUGAAUGAACUGGACAAGCCUUGCUGAGUAAUCACUUUAGAACUAGCUGUGAUUAGGCAGAGGGCCCAAACCAAAAGCCAGGCUCUGAACAGGCCUGGAUUUUCCGAUUCAGAUCAAAACCUCAUGGCUCUUUGUUUCUACCAAGCGUUGAAACAAUUCCUCAGUUCUUCAAUUUGGAAAUGGAUUCAGAUUUGAAUUCCAAAGGUGUAGCUUAGCUUUAUCUCUAAUAACACUGAUGUUCCACAGAUUCGGAUUUCCAGCCAUUUCUCCAGAUGUGUGUUUUGAGUGGGGUACUGUUCCAGAGGGGGCUGGUCACCUGGAGGGCAGCUCCUUCUGCCUUGUGUGUUGCUGACAACAGCAGCUCUGCUGAUCAGCUCUGCCAGCACUCCAUGUUGGGAGAAAGAGAGGAAAGUGAUAAGCAAAGAUUUCUUUGCCUGAUAGAGGAAAAAAAAAAAAAAAAAAAAAAUAUAUUAUUUUUUAACUCUCUGCUGCUGCAAACUUAGUAGGGACCAUAAAUCAAAAUUUAUCUGUUUUGGGAUUGUGAGACAGGCCCUAAAAAGGUGGGAAAGUUCUUAAAGAGAAAGCAGGCUAAAAAAAAAGCUAUUGAGCAUAAGAAUAGACCAUGAAGAACAAGUCUGGACACAUUAGUCAGAAUGAAUUGAAUUAUAGUUAUGCAACUCUUAAAAAUAUAUCAAUCUGUGGUAAUCUCUACAGAACUAUUCUGUAAGAGGAAUUUCUAUUGUGCAGGAGCUUUCAGGUUGUGUUAGGAGCACUAUAACACAUAGUUUCAUCAGUCUUCUCUGCGGUGCUGAGGUAUUUACCCAUCAGCUCUCAGAGGAAGAAGCCAAGGCCUGGAGAAUUCCGAUGACUUGAUGAGAUUCACUUGCUGAGCCCUGCUGGGGUGGGGGCAGGGGAAAGAGCCUACUCCUCCUACAGACUGCUUUUAUGUCUCUGCACGACAAGUGACCUUCUUUGAAGGCAACACAUGUGCCUUUUAAAAUAUAAAGUGUGUUCUUUUGGGUAAGGAUGGUGCUAGCAAAGUUUUCAAGGAAAGCUACUGUCUUGGCUCUAUGUUUGAACAGUGCUAGCAGGGUUCAGGAGGACCCAGGUCUUGCUUCUGCACCAACCAAGGUAAGUAUCAGCUGGGUGCAUUAGUAGUUGCAUGUGAUCAGAGGAGCAGGCCUGAUCCAGUGAGGAAUUCAGCUGUGAAGAAGUUGGGAUUUCACAUUUUGGUGAGUUUUGUUAAAAAUAGGGGAUUGAUCCUGCUCUUGGUUUUUAACUUCCAUUGAUUUAAAAAGGAGGGAGAGGCAGCACAAUGUGUAUAGGAAUUUAGACUCAGCUUCGAUUUCCUUUCUUUCAAAUAAAAUUGUUGAACAAUUCACACAGUAAGAAGAUGUUCCUCCGAUAAGUUGAUGGUAAAGAUAGGAUAAACUUUAUAGUUUUGUAAAUAAAAAGAAACCUCCAAGGAUGAAGUUUACUAAGAUAGAUUUAGACUAAGAUAGAUUUAGAAAAAUUUUGCCCCAGAACAUUUUUUAAAGCUGCUUAUCUAUCAAAGCAUGUAGACAGAAAUCCUUCCUGGACGAAUGCUGGUGGCUCUAUUGGUUCUAUUUUCUCUCUGCCAGAUAUAAAUAUAUUUUUUUCUUCUAAUACAUAGGUUCUUCUACAUAGAUUCUAAGCUUGUCUUUCCCCCCCAACCUCCCCUCCAAUUCAGAAAUGUACUUUUGUUUUUUUUCAUCUUGGGAGCCUAGAUUGGAAAGACUGGAACCUUCUUUUAGGAUUGGCAUGAUUUUAGUAUGAUUUCAGAGAUUCAGAGAAUUCUCAGAGUUCAAACUAUUCCUAUUUGUUAAUAUAUAUAUGAAUUUAGGAAAUAAAACACACGUCAGCACUAGCUAGCAGGGUAAUGACAUCCAGUUUUCAAACAGACUCAAGCACUCUGAAGAUUCACAGAUCAUCUUGUUGAGGGCCUACAGUGUGAUCCAAAGCAGAAAAGGGGUUUUUUGUUGUUGAUUUUUUUUGUUUUGUUUAUGAUGUAUUCCAGCUGAUAAUCUGCUUGGUGUAAACAUCAAACUAUUGAAAUUUGCUGAACAAUUAAGCUCUGAUUCUGUAUAACAUGUAAGUAUGUGUGUGUUUUAAGUGUCUUUGACCUUACACGCCUUGCUUAUGUCUUUUAUUCAAUCAAGACCUUAUGGUUGUGUUUUGUACUGAAGCUGCGAAUGCUCAGUUCAACAGAUACACUGACAAUCUGUAUGUUCAUGCUUUGUUUGCUAAUCAAAAUGGGUUGUUUUGUUUAAAGCUGAAUUAAAUUCUUUUAUUUUUAUUUAUGCUUUCAGAAGCAGCCUGAGAUGUCUGUAGAGUGGAUUACAGACAUGGACAUACUCCAUAUUUUUCUGUUUUUUAAUUAUUUGUAGCUGCCUAGAUAAAUUCAGGGUAAACUUCUCCUCCCUCUUGAGGAACCUGGGGAGUUCCUCAGAUUACAGCUCCUCACUUUAGCUGGGUGUGCCUUCAGUUUUUAAUUAACGCUGUUAAAUAAACAAAACAACCAACAAACAAAUCCCAAAGGGAAAUAAACCACAAGAAUGAUGUUGAAAUACUCAUAAAAGCUAAACCCCAAGUCCCAGGAGAUGCAAUGUCAUGGCCAUGACUCUGCCCUUGACUUGUCCUUUUGCUUUAAGAGGAGGCGUUUGUCCCCGAGUGGAGGGGGAAAGGUGAUAUAAGGCUUUAUGCAGGAAGCAGUGAGAGCUGCCCAGAGCUGGUCCAGGUACAAGACCGUGACUCGCAAAAUCUGGGGCUGAGCAUUGUCCUCUUUUUUCCAGUUUCUUGUCUGGCAAAAGGAAAUGCCAAUACAAAAUUCCUGUAGGAAAUACUUAGAAGUAUUCUUCACUUCUGUGGUUUGGGAGGAACAGAAAGGUACCUUCUUGCCCCUCUGCUGUGCAAGGUUGAGAGGUGGUGCAGUUAGUAGGUGCCAUGUUGAAAACAGCCAAGGAGAUGUGUCUCCUCUGGCUCCCAUUUCUGCCUAGGUGGAUCCCAGGCAAAGCCAAAACUGGGCCUCCAUCUCCUGCCAGGCCCUUAGGUCAAGAAAGUAGUUCCCAAGGCUGAAUAUGUGGUGUCUUAGUCCCAGAGUGGGAAUAAAUCCCAGUGAUAAUCUGGGUUUUGGUUGUUAUUAGGCACACUGAAACAGUGCAUCAGAAGCAAUGGGCCUGAACACCGCUGAGGCCUGAUUACACAACCCUGGAAUAAAAGGGCAGGGUAAAGUUUCCAACUUAAUAGCAUUUAAUUAGCUUAACUUAGAGACUUUAAAAUGUCGUUAGGAUGGAUUUUCCUUUGUUUAGCUUCUUUUGGUGUGGCUUAGCAGAUUUUAACCAUCUAAAACUGACUCUUGGUUGGGAGGACCUUAGGUGGUGCAGCACAUAUCCUUAGUGGAAUAAUGAAGUGUUUACAUUAUGCGGUUCUAUUGUGAGAUCAAUCAGGCUACAAGGCUGGAUAUAUAAACAGAAUCUGCAGGUGGUCCCUACAUCUUCUUGCCCAGAAGACAUGCUUUAAUCCUCAGGAAGUAGGCAGAGUAGAGGUUCCAGGAGGCAGCCAGCCCAAGCAAAAUAAAAGAACAAAACCAGCCAGAACAAUGCAACGCAUGUUGAGCUCAUAGUGCAAUCACUACAGAUAGCAGCUGACAGGAGACUUCAUGACAAUUCACCCAUCAGCUAAAAUUGCCAAACUUGGGAUCCUGGGAUUAAUGAACAUCUUACUCAGGUAGUACAAGCAUGAAAAGUGAGGCAGAAAGGGUGGAUAAUGCAUCUCACGUGGCCUCUAAAUGGUUCGCUCCCUUUUAAGCUGAUUUGUUACCAGGCAAGAUCUUGUGUGAAAAAUCCCUCUCGCUCUGUGUCCUUGCAUCUGCUCUGUUUUGCUCAGCUGUUGUAGUCCAUAAGUAUUUCUGCUCCUUGAUGCUGCAAGCAACAUACUAAUUAUUGAGUUGCUUGGAUUGCAAGGUGAGGGGCAAACAGGACAACUGAGCAUUCACAUAUGUUAGUACCUUCAGCAUGAAGAUUGUGCUAAUAACUCCUGGGUACACAAACACUCAAGGGAUGUGAGCAAAAAAGUGUAGCUCAGGCUAGUUUGAAUACAGAUAUUAGUGAAUGGCCUCUUAAAGGUUUUAGCGAUGUCCUUCCAGGGCUCUGUGGAAUUGAGAAAAGUUUUGCUGGAGUAAGAGCAGAAGGGUCUGACUCAUUAAAAAGAAGUAAAAGAAUGUUUUGUGACUAUGGGAUAAUGAAAGAAGUAAAUGUCAGUUCAGAGGAAAAACAAUGAUACUAAAAAAACCCUAAACCAACACAGUUGAGUUGGCUUAGAUGUAGUUUGCUAUAGGGUUGUUUUAAUUAGACUUGUGAAGCAGGGAAAUGUCAACUGAGAGGUUUUGCAGCAAGAAAAAUAAAAUAAUUUUCAAGCUGAAACAUGGCACAUACUGGAAUUGAGUUGUCCACAUGGGUGCAUUCUCUUCCUCUUUUUGAAGAGAGCACCUGAACCAGUUUAGUGAAGGGUAAAGCUCAAGAUGUCUGGAGCUCUACUGUCUCUUUAGAUUCUUAUCUGAAGUGUAUUUAAGCCUUUGGAAAAGGCUUACAGUCUCAUGAGAUCUUGUUUGUUCCCCUGCUAAGUGUUCACACGUUUCCUGAUUAUGAAAUGGCCAGUCAUACCUCAGGAAUGAGUGGGUGGUGGGAAAUGAGGACAGCUUGUUUUAGUUAUUUAUUUAUUUUUAGUGCCUUUGCAUUUCAUCUUAUCCAAAAGCAGGAGGCAGGUAUUUACAGUGUGUAGAAAAGUGGAAAAAUGCAAGUCUGCUCCUUUACUGCUAAGGUAAUUCAGAUGAAAUUACAUGUGAAGAUGUGGGCAGUGUUUGUGUUUGCCAAACAAGUCCAUUUUGACUGUGCGCGGCUGACCUUUUUUAUAGGCACAAAGAUGUUGCCCAUAUCCCUAGCAAGAUUAAACUUGCCUGAUUCCUGAGGCAGGAUUUUUGUUGACAAAAUUAGAAAUACCAAACUCUACAUCAAGACUUCUACUUUCAGCUGCUCUUAGAUCUCUCUGCCUAGCUCCUGUUCUGAUAUGUCAUUCCCUCUGCCCCGGUUUUAUCGUAUACAGGCCAAGAUGUAUGAUUGGAAGGUAAUGUUAAUGCAAACUUUGUCCCCUCUUCCAGAGUAGCCUUACAUUUCUUCUCCUAUGCUAACUUAUUAUCACACUUGCCUAUCGAAUAACAUUUGGUCUUUUCAAGUAAUUUUAAAGGUAGCACAGUGAUGGUUUCCAGUGACAGAUUCCAGUGAUCUCAUUCAUUUCUGGAUCACACAUAUUUGGAUUUGCUUCAAAGCCUGGGGGAUGUUUAGAUCUGAGAUUCUCUAAAAUGGUGUGUUUCUUCAAAAGCACUUAGCAGGAAUUCCUCAUUACACACAGCUUGGGGAAAUCUUGCAUAACCUGCAAAUUACAGUCAGAAUUUUGUUUUUUGCUGUGAAAAUUCUUGUGUUUGCUCUUUAUUUGCUUAUAGGAGCAUUUACAGCAGCCAAACCACCUUAGCCCAAAAACUCUAUGGGACAGAAGUCGAAGAUGGUUUCUGUAUUACUAGUGACCUGCUCUGAUCCUGCGGGAGUGAGUGAAAAUUCUGCUUUUGGAGUCAUGCUGGGGGAGACAGCAAAGCUAAAACUUUGUAAUGUUAAAUUCAUGGCCUCUCUUUGUGAAUUCUUGACUUCAGCACAUCACAGAAGAUGGCAUAGUUUUCUUAGAAGAUCACCAGAAGCGGAGAGAAAAGAAUCAUAGCUUCAUGUGAACCUAGCCAGUCCACAGGUAAAUAAGAUGUACAAUUUUCAGUAGACGAAGGAGCCAAAUGAAGUGAUGUGGCCAGGAUCAGCUCAGGCUACCUUUGAUUCUUGAUCAUUGGGGGAAAGGUGGGUGUGGAUUUUUCAAGAUCGAUUCUUGAUCUCCUGGACAAAAGCCAGGGUGGGGAGCAUGCUUACUGCUGCACAACACCCCAAGCUUAUAGCUGCUUUAAGAAGUUAUGCUAAAUGUUUAUGUGGAAAGUCCUCCAAUCUGAAGAAGGCUACUGUUGAGAGAAAGCUUCCCUACAUGACCUGAGUUCAGAGUUCUCCAGUGAGUGUUUACUGGCAAGAAUGUUUAAGAAAACUGUGAGUGCUCAGCUCAGAUGACGAAUGCAGAACUGUGACUUUCCCACCAGAAGACAGUUUUUAGAAGUUAAUUCAUCAGGGAAGAGAAGCAUAAUAUUCCAGAUGACCUGCAUACGUAGCUUGAAUUGCAAAUACCAGCUAGUCACAGCAAAUUGUUCACAUGCUCUGUCUGAACAGGGCAGGGAAUACCUGUGAGUAAGCCACAGCCUGCUUGUGGGCAGACCAGUAUAAAAGGUAAAACCUAAUCUAAAUUUCUCCUUCUUUUAUAAUGUGAUUAUUCAUUCAUUACAGAUCAAAAAGUGAGAAUGGCCAAGCUUCAGAUGCCUGUGGGCACUUGUUACUGUCAUCGUAAUGUUAAAAGAGACAAAGAAACUGCACAGUAGAUGUGAAAACCCUUCAAGACCACAACUUGCCUUCUGUUUCCCUGUGUGAGGAAGAUAGUGGGAUUUUUUUGGGUCAUUGGGAAGAACUUAACCCAAGGAUUCCAGUAAUUGUAGCAGAGCAUCCCCUGAGGAAGUCUUUGUGUUUUCUGAAGUCCAGAGUUAAGAAUAUAAAGGUUAUGGUGAAAUUUCAGGUUUGCAGAACAUGCUGUGUUUGAUGUCCUGCCUAGGAGAGUGGGCUUCCUACUGGUGACAUAGAUACUGCUCUGCAGAGCCCAGUCCCUGAGCUUCCACCCACUUACUUGGGAAUUUCUACUCUUAGAAUGAAGCCAGCAUCAGAUGUAGCUUCUAGGAGAGCAUGGUCUUCUAGGCAGUUAUUCUAGAUUAGGUGCACCUAUGUAUAUAAUUUAUUAAUAUAUGCUUGUUUUUUUUAUUUCUUCUCUCCCUCCCAAUCUUGCUAUUCCUUCUCUACAGUGUCUAGAUUGCAGAUCCAGUCUUUGGAUGGAGUCUUGACCAGAAUUUUGGACUCCUAACCUGCCAUGCUUAAUGCCUUUACUCCAGUUUUCCAGCAGUAUUUUUUUUCCAGAAAGAAUUGUGUUGUACCAUAGCUACAACAGUCAUUUGUAUGAGUUGUGUUUGGUGGAGUGCAUCUCUGAAGUAGCCUAUGGAUGAUUAGGUAUCCAUGCACCACAGACCGAAGUUAACCCUUUUGCAUAUGUCAUAGCUGACCAAAUAAAACAGUGUCAGACUGUGCAAGCCCAGGAGCUUGUGUGAUAGAGCUUGGAAAGCUAUGAAACACAUGGAAGAAUUCAUGCCAUACAGAAAUCCACUGUAUUUCUUCAGCUCUUUCAGAAUGCCAAACUAGAACACAAGGAGUUUAUUCAAGUAACGAUGGGCCAGCUUCUCUGGAAACUUUCAUAAGCAUACCUUGAAAUAAUUAUUGGACACGUUAGCAAAGUCAGAUACUCUCUAAUCAAACUGUGAAAUUGGAGGCAUUGCUGUCGCAAUAUCUACUUGGUUUCUGACAAUACAGCAGAAAGUCAAAUGUCAUUGUAGAGUGCCCAAUACCACAUCCAUGAUGGGCUAUGCCACCAUUGGAUGUGUUCAACAUGGCACAAAAAGUUGAGUUUUGCAUUAAAGAUAAUAUUUGUACACGUGUGAAACAAGUACAGGGAUCUGCAUCUGCUUGCUGAAAAAACAUGGAGAUUUUGAGCAUGCUCGUGACUCAUCCUGCUUGAUAUUAGACACUGUGUCUGUUUAAAUUGCACAACGUACUGAUCCCACCAUGUACUGACUAUUUCCUCAUGUUAUCCGUCUGGAUCUGCUGUCAUGCCUCUUCAUGCAUGCAUAUUGAACAGUGAAGCCAAGUGACACUGUAAUUGCUAAUUCCAUCCUCUGGUUUGGCAGGUCACUCCUGCAUUCUGGCUGUGCAAAAAUAUAAGUAAAUGAUGCUAACUUCAGCCCAUACCUUCUCAGCAUGUUUAACGUUGUGUGUAAGCAGUUUGCACUAAUAAUUUGAUUUGGAUAAAUUGCAUUUCAUUUCCUUGCAAAUCAGCCAUCUGAAUAUUCUGUUUAUCUGUUACAUUAAAAAAAAAUUCAGAGACGCAAUAAUCAUUGGUCUUGAUGCUCAGCUGAAUCCUCAGUACCAGGAGCAUUAGGGGCUAGGAGGUACGCCUGAUUGUGGAGCAGAGAUCUGUUGUCAAACUGCGUGGCAGGAAAGUGUCUAAAACUCAGGCUAAGCCAAACCAAAUUAAACCUCUGUUUCUAAAAUGCCGUUGAAGUUUUGGUGCCUGGAGUCCAUUGCCAAGCCAUGUGGCAGGGGUUUAAGUGAGCAGGCCAAAAACUGUUCCUAGAUUUAAGAGAAACUACAAGUGUGUAAGCCCACUGGAACUUAUAUGCUUGCGUUCAGCACUGACAAAUUCCAGGUGACGUUGGCUUCAGUUACUAAGUACCUAUUUCAAUACUCAAGUAGGCCAGUGGCUGUUUUUCUUUCUCUCUACUUUGGAAUAGAACCAAGCCUUGUGGAAAGCAUUUUUCCCCCCUCAGAGUUUAUGCUAGAAGUGUUACAAUAAUCCACAUGCAAUAAGGAAACACUAUUGCCUGAGAAACAAUCCAUGAAACAGGAUCUUUGUGGUAUUGAAACCUGAUGGUAUUAGCACGGAGAAUCCAGAAAACAUCACUGGACUUCUUUUCCUUAGGCAUUUGAAGUCCACUACAAGCCAAUAAGAAAUCUAACCAUCAAGGGCAUUACUUUUUCUUCUGUGCUUAUGAGGUAUGUUUAGCAUAUCUUUAACAGACAUCAUGCUGUCUGUGUUAGCGUUACUAAGCGUAACAGGCAAGUGAGCCUUGUGUGUUGUAAUCCCUGACUUAUCCAAAUUGUACUCAGAUUUUUCUGGGUCACUUGUAAGAGUGUUUUCUUUUUAUUGUGUACUUCAUCAGAUGAGCAUACAAAGCAGGAGGUUAAUCCUCACUGCAUCAAAGAACACGCAUGCUUCAGUCUACUGCAAAUGUUUGGGAUCUAAGGCCAGCUUGAAGAAAAAGCAAAGUAUUCCACAAGCCAUGUAGGUUUUGCCAAAACAAUUUUCAUUUAAGUCCUCUAGCUCUGCAGUGAACUGUUCCAGAUAGCAAAUACAGCAGUUGUGGGGUUUUUUGUAUGGGUUUUUUUGGUUUGUCUGGUUUUCGUUUUGUUUUGUUUUGGGUUUUUUUGUUGUUGGUUUUUUUUUUUUGUUUGUUUGUUUGGUUUGGUUUGGUUUGGGUUUUUUUUGUUUGGUUUGGUUUGUUUGUUUGUUUGUUUUUUCCCAUACAAAAUGUCUCUUUUGGAUAACACAGUCCAAGAGUAAAAUUGUUUUCAUACCCAGAGAAAAUUGCAUGAUAUCUGGUCAUUAGCAUAGUUCAAAGCUGGAGCUGUUCUAUAGAUAUUUAGCAUUUGGAGCAGCAUGUGGAACCAGCUGGGGACGAGAACACAAUGUACUUCCAAAACAAGAAAUUUCUCUUAAUCAGAGGAUAUGUUAAUUGCUGGGAAUUUCUUUCUCAAAUCUCAAGUGUUCUCUUUUUCUUAUUAAAAUUACAGAAAUGUCUUCAGUCUCUUUAAAUCUCAGUAUCAAAACCUUCAUUAAAAUGUUAAUAUCAGUGAAAUUUCUUACUCAAAUGUCAGUUGUUUGUGUUCUGAUGAGCAAUUCUUGGUUGACUAAAAGGCAUCUGUAGGCUUCUAUGAUUUGUUUUAAAGAUACUUGCUUGAUAGGGCCAGCUGAUUCAUAUUUUCCUUGCUCAGGUCAUUCUGAAUUUUCUUUGCUCUUAUAUAACUGCAAUACUGCUAAUGCAUUUAUGUAACAUGAAUUGAAUUUUGCAGUGAAACAGAUAUUCGUGCAAUGUGUAAGCAUAAUAAUACUCAGCUUCUCUGUAGAUUGGUUAUUUGAACAGUAAAACAGAAUCCCUCUUCAUAGCUUCACCUUGGUGAACCUGAGGUGGAUUAUGAGGCCGAUGUGGAAGACGAUGACAACAGCAUUCAGGUUUAUUAUUAAUUGUGUGGAAAUAAUCUGAAUUGGAAAACUGGAUUCACCUGACAGGACUCUGGAUCAUUAUGAUGGCCUUCUCAAGAGAUGCCCUGAAGCAGAAGAUCUCAGGGAAGCUACACAGGCUGUAGCACCAUUUUGGGGACCUGCUUUGCAGGUUGUAAGGCUGUUGUUGGCUCUUUGCCCCAACGCAGUGGGAAAUAUGACCCCAGCCCUUCUCUGUGCUUCCUCAGGGACAUAGGCUCAGCUGGCAUGCAAAGUGCUCAGCAGUUAGGGCAGAGUGGGCUUCCUGACAAGCGCCUUGAUAUGUCUUGUGGAUGUGGCAACAGCUGGGCACAGAUAUGGUGGGGCUAAAGCAAGGGUGUAGGUGCACUAGACAAGGUAACAUUUAGUUGGUUGUUGAGCUGGCUUUCUUCAUCCAGUAGUAGUGUAUUUAAUGUGAAACCACUGUUAAAGAGCAGCCUCCUACAUGUAGAUACCAUAUGACCAAGUAUUAAGAGAAGUGAUGUAUGACAAAGGUGAUUCAGAUGUCACCAGCACGUGGCACUGAAUACAAAUGCUUUAACUCGAUACAGCUAUUGCCUUUAAGUGAGUGACAUCAACAGAUGUAUUUGUGUUAUCUUCAAAAGUAGUAUUAGGGAUUUACCUAAUCAUAGAAUCAUUUAGGUUGGAAAAGACCCUUAAGAUCUUUAAGUCCAACCAUUAAUCUAACACUGCCACGUCCACCACUAAACUAUACCGCUAAGCUCACAUCUACAUCUUUUCAACAUCUCCAGGGACGGUGACUCAACCACUUCCCUGGGCAGCCUGUUCCAGUGCUUGAUAACCCUUUCAGUGAAUAAUUUUUUCCCAAUAUCCAAUCUAAACCUCCCUGGUGCAACUUGAGGCCAUUUCCUCUUGUCCUAUCAUUUGUUACUUGGGAGAAGAGACCAACACCCACCUCGCUACCACCUCCCUUCACAUAGUUGUAGAGAGUGAUAAUGUCAAAGUAAUCUGUGUGGGACUUAUUGGCACUUUAGGAUGAGAGGAAGCUGGUUACAGUGAAGAAAGGGCUGCAGACCCACAGGAGCAGUUGCUUUCUUAUUUCUCUAAAUUCACUCUUGGAUUAUUGAAUUGUCAUUUUAGUUCUCUUCUGUGACCGAUCCUUCUCACCUCUGUUGACUGCGUAGGACAUAGGUUGGGGGCAAAGGCAAACCUUGUAAAAAGAACCAACAUCUGAAAGGAGUAUGGUAAAAUUUUUGCUGUGGAGUGCCAAGAAGGUCUCCAGUGUCUGGGGCUCUCAUCAAGACUUCAUUUCUCCUGGAAACAUCUUCAGCUUUUGCAGGCAUCCUCUUCUGCCAACAGCCUGCACCUCAGGCUGUCAGGCUUUCCUCUGGCACUUGUGUGAUAUCUGAUUCAAUUGCCAUGACUGGCAAUAUCUAGGAAAGAAGCAGCUGAAUUGGAAAGAGCUACACAUUGUCCAAAAUAAGGCACAAUUUACUCAUCUCUUGGGAUUCAUAGUGUUUGGUGGCCAAUAGCUCAAAUAUCUUCCACUCUGUAAACACAUUAAUACUGAGGUUAAUAGGGAAAUUUAUCCAUGUGAAGAAAGUAUGUUUUUGAAUAUUUCUCAGCUUGAAAUCUUUGGUCUCUGUUAGUAACUUGCUGUGUGUCUGCCCCUUCAUCACCACAGCUUCUAAUGAACAAGUUAGACAAACACCUGCCAGAAGUGUUUUAGGUAUUGCUGAUCCUGCUUAGAUGACCUUUUGGAGUCUAUUUCAACCUUGUGGUCUCUGAUACUGUGGCUUUCCAAGCUUACUCUUAUGAGCUUCUAAAAAUGUUUGAAGAUUAAUGGUUAGCAAUGAAAUUGCUACUUCCACAGAGCAUUAAAGCAGCUGCAAUACAAUAGGAUUGAAAACUGUCAGCAACUUAGUGUACAUUGAAUUUAGAGAAAGUAAAUUGCUUCUUGUAAACUUUACUGCUGUGUAACUGUCUAACAAUUUUUUUAAGAAUGUCACCUGAGAACAGAGAGGGUUUUCUUUUUCCUUUUCUCUGGGAGCUAGACUGAAAUGUCUAGCUAAAUUACAAAAUGCUAGUUAUAUAAGGCAACCAAUAGAUUUGUUGUUUAUGAAUUUUAUGUACAUAGUAGAAGUCUCAUGGAAGCUCUCAUUGCCUGUAAUAGAAGCCACAGAAAUAAAACACAGAAAUGCCUGAUCAUCCUCAGCUGUCCAGGUGAAUGGAGUCGGGGGCAAUUAAUCAGGUAAUUGAAAGGCAAUAGGACCACAGUGCAGUGCAGAGAUGGAAUUCUGUUUGUAGGUGAAUGCCCGAAGUCUUAACCCCCCCACCUCACCCCUUCCCCACACCCCCAAGGCACUUGUUCUGUGUUGCUAUUAUUGCUAUGUUACGUGACUUCUCUGUUCUUAUCUGGGGUUCCCCCCCCUACCCCGUGUUGUUU